rnacentral:rRNA from 1 species
UAGGGAAUCUUCGGCAAUGGGGGCAACCCUGACCGAGCAACGCCGCGUGAGUGAAGAAGGUUUUCGGAUCGUAAAGCUCUGUUGUAAGUCAAGAACGGGUGUGAGAGUGGAAAGUUCACACUGUGACGGUAGCUUACCAGAAAGGGACGGCUAACUACGUGCCAGCAGCCGCGGUAAUACGUAGGUCCCGAGCGUUGUCCGGAUUUAUUGGGCGUAAAGCGAGCGCGGCGGUUUGAUAAGUCUGAAGUUAAAGGCUGUGGCUCAACCAUAGUUCGCUUUGGAAACUGUCAAACUUGAGUGCAGAAGGGGAGAGUGGAAUUCCAUGUGUAGCGGUGAAAUGCGUAGAUAUAUGGAGGAACACGGUGGUGAAAAGCGGCUCUCUGGUCUGUAACUGACGCUGAGGCUCGAAAGCGUGGGGAGCGAACAGGAUUAGAUACCCUGGUAGUCCACGCCGUAAACGAUGAGUGCUAGGUGUUGGAUC